UCCUCCCUCCCUCCUCCCUUCCUCCUCCCUCCCUUUCUCUUUCAUAUGGACAAUUGGUAUUUCCUCAGUUUUAUGUAAUUUUGUGCUGUAGAAAUGGAACUUAAAGCCUCACUUCUACCCCCAGCCAGAUCGGAUUGCACCCCUUAAUUCCUUCUAUACAGAACUUCAACGGACCGACUCCAAGUUUCAACACUUGGACAAUGAAAAUCUAAGACUGAAAAAUUAAAGAUUAAAUCACUCUCCGUUUCUACCCAAGGCCGACUCCUUGCCCCCGUGGCUGGAUCCCGGGUUCUCCACUUCUCCUCUGCAACAGGCUGGGGAUGUGGCUGCUGAGCCAUCCCACGCUGGCAGGCUCCUCUCUCUCCCUGCGGGGGAGGGAACUGCACAAGCCCAGACUCCUGGGACCUAUAGGUCCCGAAACAUGCAGACCGGAAACAUCCGCCCUCUGUUCUCCAAGCUGCUUCAGAUUCAAGGCCUUGAUCUUGGUCAGCUGUUGUGGCCAGUCUGCCUACCUGUUGUUGCUAGGUGCAUUUCUGAAAUCUCCCGAGAGGGAGAACUUAUGCUGACACAGCAUAAUUUGUACUGGGGAGAGAGGAGAAGAGGGUGCAGAAGAGCAAAUUUCCUUCAAUGAGGGAUUUGUUCUGGGGUUAGAAUCUGGAAAGAAGCCUGUUUCUUUUGUAGAAGAUGCUCACCCUCUCUAUCUGUCUCUUUACCUGAAAGCCAGCCUUGGUGAGUACUGUGGAGCUUACAGAUUUGGUUGCUUGACAGGGUUUCUUCAGCUUUUGUACUCCUGUGUCACUUGUCCUGCUUUAAACUCCCUGCUGCUCUUCCCCAGCACCAACCUGUUUUACCAGAGAACUUAGGCCAUCCAGUGUCUGCGUGGAAACCCUUUUCCUGAGCAGCCACUCCUCUCUCCACAGCCACGAUUGCCCUCCAUGUUUCUACUUGAUGUGACCCAUUUUACCAUUUCCUCAAAAUAAAAACAACCACAGAACAAAAAGCCUGAUUUAUUGUUGUGUGUGUGUCGGGGGGAUGGUGUGUAAGAAACACCUGGCUAUCAGAUAGGUGAGCAAACAUGGCCAUUGCUCUGGUUUGGGGUGGCCUGUGAUGUUUUACAUAGCGAUUGGGAUGAGCACAGAGGGCCUAUAGUCAUGCCAAAGCCUCAGAAUUCUUGAGGGGGUAGCAGUUCUCAGAAGGAAAAUUGCUUUUCUCAAGGACCUGCAAGUUUUUCCUGCAGAUUCCUCAGGAAUGGUUGGGGUUCCCAGUAACUCCUUUGCCUCUGGAACUCUGGAUAAGCACAUUAGUUUCAUUUUACUCCAGCAUUCUCUGUGUACCAGGGAAUUCCAUCUUAGCUCCUUAGAGUGUAUUUUCAGUAAAAAUCCUCCGUAUUGGUGCUGGAGAUUGCAGCUCAGGUCACCCUUUGACAGAACAGGGAGAGGCAAGCUCAUAGAUGACUCAGUUCAGAAUGGAUGGGGGCAGCUUCCAGUGGUAUUAGGACCAAUGACUAGGACCGGGCCCAUCCAUUGAUUAGCUGGAUAAAAGAAUAAUGAUGUAAAUCAUAAUCUAGGUACAUAAAUAUAUCCCUUUGUUGCCAUACCACCUGAAAUCGUUGUCUAAGAUAAUGAAAUUUGGAAGAUAUGUUUAGGAUGGCCUGAUUUAAAAUAGAAGACAUGUUGCAUAUGCGAAAUAUGAAUAUCUUGGACAGAGAAAACAAACAGUGGUUUCAAUUAUGAGCCCCAAAAGCAACAUCACAAGGUAAGUGAUCUAAUUUGCAGGGGUCCGUUUUGGUUCAGGCAACUUGUUAUGUGCAGGUCUCUGAAGAGCGUGAUCCAAAGUAAAAGCCAAGCUUUAUUUAACAACAGUAACAAUAAUAUCAAGAACAAUAGUAAUGUCUGUCAUCAUUGAAUAAAUGCUUUCCAUAGGCCAGAACAAUCACAGUCCCUCCUUACGAGUCUUUGUUUUUCUGUGCCACUUGUUUCUUCAUCAACCAUGUCACCUUUGAUAUCACCUUUCUUUCCCUCUUCUCCCUAGGCUGGCACCAACUACAAGAAUGCCAUCAGCCAGGGCCAAUGAGCCUUCCUGUUGGAGGAGGAUGAGUGCUCCAGGGACAUCUACUUGCUCAAAGGCAGCAUUCAUCCCGAAGUAUGCGUAGGAGCUGCCCCUGGAAGCAGAUGAGGCCUUGCGUUAUGUGCUGCCAGCCAUCCUGAAUCCUUGGUACCAGCUCUCUGAUUUCCUUGGUAGAUGGACACAAAUUUAAAAGCAAUGUGGAACUACUGGUUUACUACAGUGAGGUACAAACUCCCAGUGUAUCUGUGGAGAUGGGACGACCUAUAAUGAACACAGGUAGAAUAAUUCUGCUUGAUGUCAAAAUCCAUGCUUGGAGGGAAUGGCUGAAGUAGAAUGGAGGCUAGAGCCACUUAAUUUAAGGGAGACAAGAAGCUUUGCAUUAGGAUAGGUUAUCUACCUGGGUACUUAAUAUCUCAAGAUGAUGGCAGUCCUUGCAAUGGAGUGGAAGCUUUGAUCUAGUUCUUGAUACUUCAGUGAAUGAUGGAAAAUGGCAAAGAGGUUGGAGGUCGACCACAGAUAGGAUAUGAGAAGGACUAGACAAACACCAAGCUUUGGUGAUAGAACAAAGAAGAAAUGCAUGUCUCUCAGAGACCUCUCCAGAGAUGGAAAGGGCUCAUUCUUCCAUCAACAGGACCAACUUGAAAACUCACCAUACAGAGGUAAUCUGUUUGAAAAGUGUCAGGCAGAGGGUGAAAUUUGUCCACUUCCCAUAUUUGGCAGUAUCAGCCCAGCUCUACAAGUAGGACCCUGAAACCCACCAGAGGUUAGUCUGAGCUGACUUCUCUUCAAAAGGCAGAUGGUUCCUGGGAUCUGAACGAAGGUCUGGCCAUGGUCCUACAUAUGAGUUUGGAAGAGAUACUGACUGCACAUCUUACCAAGGCUCUGUCAUGCAUGUGGUUAUGAAAGCUGCAACUGCUUUUCUGAAAUCAUCUGAGAAUCAUGCCAUCUUUGCCCUCUGAGGAUACCAUCCAGAAAAACAAGUGCAUCUUCUAUGCUAUUGACCUUUCCUUUAGCCUUUCUUCUGCUGUAAUGUGUUGUAUUUUAUAUCUAUCCUGUCUGUUUCUUGUCAUAAAAGUAAAGGCUGCCCGCCCACCUUGCCUCUGUGUUCCAGGUUCCCUUUGGAUAUGAUUUUCCUUUCCCCGCAUGUAUCCUCAGUCAAGUGUCAGUAGUCCCAGAACCUGUUCCCUUCCUUGGAGUUCAAAAGAUUCUUAGGCAGUAAUGUUCCUCCUAGGUUUUCUAGAGUGCCACCAUGAAAAACAAGUGACAUGGAUUCCAGAUUAAAGGUUGCCACAUUGAUGUUAGAGUAUGUCUGAAUUAUAGAAUUCUCUGCAUUAUUUUUGUCUAUUCACUUUUGAUUUUAUAUACUUAUCAGGACUAGAGUGGUGAGCGAUACAAUUUUCUAUUCUUAGAUAGGAGGAAAGGUUGGAGAGGAGGUUGAAAGCUGACAUUGGGAUUAAUAUAAACCUCCAGAUGACAAAGACAGAGUCUCAAGGGAUCCACUGUGAGCGUUGGCACUGUUGGAGACCUUCUCGAUUGAUUCUGCUUGGGUUUAGCUACCCCAUACUGCAUGCCUUCUCUCUCACUGCCUAAGGGACUUGGAUUGAGUCAUAACUGUUGAAGUCAGACCUUUCUCCUUCAUCAGGAAACAUCUUAGUAAAAGGGUGUUGAUGGAAUCCUUAGUCCUAGAUGCCUCUAAUUCAGUCUGUGGUCCAGUAUAAUAAAGGUAAAAGUAGUUAUAAAGGCAGCUUUGCCUGAGACCUUAACCUGGAUCACUCACUCCAUGAAAAAAGAAGGAGCACCCUUUGAUUGUUUCUAACCCUCAUGUCCCACAUACUCUAUCCUAGUGGAAAUGACCCUAUUUGAUGUGUUGUCCUUUAAAAUACUGUUGUAUCAAUUUUACAAUGACUGUCUCUACUCUGCACUUUGUUGUGUCAAUCUUAUAGAUUUAUUCAUCGAACCUGCAUUGGUUUUAUUAUCUCUUAUUUCCCUCCCAACUUUUCUGAUGCCUCCACUCUUCAUACUGUGUCCUGUCCCCAUAUCUUCUAUUGUAGGCUGAUUUCCUGUCUUAUAUGAAGCAAGUAAAGGGCACUGGGCAGAAAACUUUUAGAAUCCUGACCAAAUAGUUAAGUGAUAAUAAAUAAACAAUUUAACCUCUUAAGAGCUUAGUAUUCCCAUCUGUAAAACUAGAUGAUUAAAUUAGAACUCUGUUAUCACUUUUGCCUUGAAUACUCAAGAAUUCUGAGCAGGACCUCAAUAUCUGUUCAAUAAGGUGGAAGAUGACCUUAACCUGAGUUCCAUUAAACUGACAAGUGAACUGGCAUUAGGAAGUAAACUGGCAUUUUCCUGAGUUGUAUAGUGGAGACUGAUCUCCCAGGACUUUCUUUCAAGUUUGUUCAUGGCUGAGUGUGACCUGUGGUGGGCCUAGGCAUCAUCUGGAAGCUUACUACCAAUGCAGGCUUUUAGGCAACCACAAAAUCUCCUGUAUCAAGGUCUUCUUUUUAACAAAGGUCUCCAGAUAAUUCAUAUGCGCAUUAAAGUUUGAUAAGUUAGGGUUUAGCCUUUUUAUGAAAGAGGCUGGUAUUCAAGUCUACUAUAUAGAUGUAAUGACAGAAACAGCUUUCUAAGGACCAUGAAAUGUGUAGAUCUACCCUCUGACCAGAAAAAAGAUGGCCCUUUACAUUUAUUAUACAGAGCAGCAUAUAUUAUUCACUUAUGUUCACUUCCCCUUUUCUCACCCUUCAACUUCCAGACUGGGCUAGGGCUUAGGGACUUCUAAAGCAAAAAACAAAACAACAACAGUAGCAACAACAACAAAAACAGUCUUUGUCUUCUUUAUAAUGCAGAAUCAACUACAGUUUUUUUUUUUUUCAAUUACAGUUGACAUUCAAUAUUAUUUUAUAUUAGUUUUAGAUGUACAGGGUAGUGGUUAGACAUUUAUAUAAUUUAUGAUGUGAUUCCCCCCGAUAAGUCUUAUAUCCACCUAGCACCAUACCAUAUGGUUUCACUUAUGUGGAAUUUAAAGAAUAAAAUAAACAAACAAAACAGAAACAGAGUCCUAGAUACAGAGAUCAACUACAAUUUUAAAGUACUAUGAUUUUAUUUUUCUGUUUGAGCUCUCAUGCUAUGAAUGUACUACUGUAAAUUCCUCAAACCUAAACAAGUCAUAAUCAAACAUGUUUAUUAAAGCCCACUUUCAGGGCUGGUGCUUUAUGUUUUGAGAACAUGUAAAGCACCCCCUAUUUUCAGGAACUGAUGGUCUGGGCAAGGAGCCCAGGAGAGAAGAUGCUCUCAUGUCCCAUUGGUUGUCCUCACCCUACAAUGGUUUCCUGGCUCCUGCAGAGCUGGCCAUAAAAAGAAUGGAAGAUCGCAUUGCUUCAGGAUUCUCCCAUUCAGACUGAUCCCAGUGCCUCCAAGUUCAGGGUACCAUGUUAUACGUAGACUUAUGAAUGAAACCCAUUGCCUGUUGUCCCUAAUUCCAACAUAAUCUUACUAUGUAUCAAUUAACAUUUGCUGUUCCUCUGCCAACUAUCAGCCUUCGGUUCCUUAAAAACAGUCCAUCUGCUUCAAGAAUCAGAUUAUCCAGAAGAAAACUAAGAAAAACAUCAUGCAAUGAGCUAACAUCAUGUAUUAUGUUUCUUCUUUCACUUCUAUCAGUGCAUACACAUUUUUUGUUUGUUUGUUUGUUUCAGGUGUAUCGAUUGGUGUUUGAUAGGGACUGCAUUUAACCUAUAGAUUGCUUUGGGUAGUAUGGACAUUUAAAUUCUUCCUAUUCAUGAGAGGUGCAUAAACAUUUAAGAUUAUUAUAUCUUCUUGGAGAAUUGAUCCUUUUAUUAUUAUGUAGUACUUACCUUUACCCUGCUGAUUUUCCUUAUUCUGAAAUCUACUUUGUCUAAAAUGAAUACAGCCACUCCAGCUUUGUUCUAUUUUGUGUUAGCAUGAUAUAUAUUUUUCCACUCCUUUACUUUUAACCUAAUAAAGUAAUUAUUAAUAUGAUCAAGUUGAUAUGUAUCAUGUUUAACUAUUUUCUAUUUGCUGCAUUUAAAAGACUAAUGUUGCCUCCUCUGUUUUAUUUCAGCAUUUUAUGUGAUUUAAUUUUAUCUAUGUUGUUAAUAUAUCCAUUAUAUGUAUUAAUUUUUUAGUUGUUGCCCUAGAGCUUAUAACGUAUACUUAAAAAUAAUCCUAAGUCUAUCUUCCAAUAACACUGUACAACUGUAUGUGUAAUGCAGAACACUUAUAACAGAAUUUUUCUAAUUUUUCCUUGUCAUCUAUUGUGGCAUCACUGCCAUUCAUUUCUCUUAUCCAUGUAUUAUGAUUACCCACUGCUUUGUCAUUAUUAUUACUUUAAAAAGUUAUCUUUUAGAUUAAUAAGAAAAAGAAAAUAUUUCACGUUUGUAUUAACUAUUGCAUAAAAUAAUUUUAAACUCACAGAUUCAUUAUAAGUAUCUAUUAAUAAAUAGACAUUACAUUCAAGAGA